rnacentral:rRNA from 1 species
GACGAACGCUGGCGGCGCGCUUAACACAUGCAAGUCGUGCGGUACCGAUGGCAAGUCUUCAUGACGAGCCUUCGGUAUAGCGGCGGACGGGUGAGUAACACGUGAGUAGCUGUCCUAGGGAGGGGGAUAACGCCUGGAAACGGGUGCUAAAACCCCAUAAGCCUCGCAAGAGGUGAAAGUGUACUUGUUACAGCCUUAGGGUGUGCUCGCGGCCUAUCAGCUAGUUGGUGAGGUAAGGGCUCACCAAGGCUAAGACGGGUAGCCGGCCUGAGAGGGUGUACGGCCACACUGGAAUUGAGAUACGGUCCAAACUCCUACGGGAGGCAGCAGUGGGGAAUAUUGGGCAAUGGGGGAAACCCUGACCCAGCAACGCCGCGUGAAGGAAGAAGGUUUUCGGAUUGUAAACUUCUGUCCUUGGUGAAGAGAAGAAGACGGUAGCCAAGGAGGAAGCCCCGGCUAACUACGUG